rnacentral:rRNA from 1 species
GACGAACGCUGGCGGCGUGCUUAACACAUGCAAGUCGAACGGAAAGGCCCUGCUUUUGUGGGGUGCUCGAGUGGCGAACGGGUGAGUAACACGUGAGUAACCUGCCCUUGACUUUGGGAUAACUUCAGGAAACUGGGGCUAAUACCGGAUAGGAGCUCCUGCUGCAUGGUGGGGGUUGGAAAGUUUCGGCGGUUGGGGAUGGACUCGCGGCUUAUCAGCUUGUUGGUGGGGUAGUGGCUUACCAAGGCUUUGACGGGUAGCCGGCCUGCGAGGGUGACCGGCCACAUUGGGACGGGGAUGCGGCCCAGACUCCUACGGGAGGCAGCAGUGGGGAAUAUUGCACAAUGGGCGGAAGCCUGAUGCAGCAACGCCGCGUGCGGGAUGACGGCCUUCGGGUUGUAAACCGCUUUCGCCUGUGACGAAGCGUGAGUGACGGUAAUGGGUAAAGAAGCACCGGCUAACUACGUG